rnacentral:lncRNA from 1 species
AUGCCACCCAAACGCCGUCGCUACAAGGAUUAUUUAGUUCAGGGUUCUGAUUCGAAAAUUCCACGUUCAACCCUGCAGCGAAUCAAAGCUCGGAGUAAGCAGGCAGCCGAAGCAAAUCCUGUAAGUCCAUCAUCUGCUUUAUAUGCCGCAUGUUCAUCUACGGAUCAUUCAUCUACAUCUUUGGCAUCACAAGAUGAAUGUCCAACAAAUGCUAUUCCCGACCCACCUUCUGGCCAUGAGUAUUCUGACAUUCCACCAUUAAACAAUGAGCCGGCUGAAGAACCAAGUGACGAUGAACCAAGUGACAAUGAUUCUAGUGAUGAAGAUUCCGCUGAUGAUGUACCCAGUGAUGAUGAGCCACCAGACGAUGAACCUCCGGGCAACGACCCAGCACCCAUCGAGCCUCCAAAUCUGCCGAAUCCUCCCCCUCCUCCGCCUCAUAUUGAUGAAUAUAACUUGGAUGCACCUGCGUUUCCUGGGAGCUUCAUUUCGAAGUUUGAAGUUCUGCUUUUAAUUAUCCAUUUUAUCAUCCGGUUUUCUUUAAGUGACGUUGCCCUUAGAGCCCUCAUUGAGUUAGUGAACACUAUUAUUGGUGCAAGCAUCAUACCCCCUAGUAGCUACAUUUUUAAGAAAAUUUUCAAAUCUACCACUCGAAAAUCUCUUACUUUCUAUUGUUCCAAGUGUUUUUUCCUGCUUGGGAAAAAAGAAGAUUGUGAACUGCAAUCUUGUCCAGAAUGUGGAGAGCCUGUUGGAUCUAAAUCUUCUAAUAACAAUGGAAAGUAUUUUGUCAAUUUAUCUCUAGAGGAUCAAAUUAGAGAUUUGCUUGAAGGCCCUGAUGGAGAGAAACUGUUAGCAUACCGAUUAAACAGAGAUAUCAACGAAUCGUACAUCUCGGAUGUUUUUGACGGGAUCAUCUUCCAAGAUCUUCUUCAGAAACUACCGCCAGAUCAGUCGUUUUUGACGUUGACUUUGAACACAGAUGGAGUUGCUGUGUUUAAAAGUUCUAAGAACUCGAUGUGGCCCAUUCAGUUACUUAUCAAUGAGUUUCCACCGUCUGAAAGAUUUGCUGCCUUUAACCUUCUCUUGUCAGCAGUGUGGUUUGGCUAUCCAGAAAUCUCAAUGACAACAUAUUUGAGCAAUUUUGUUGAUGAAGCGAACAAGUUGGCCACUGAUGGAGUACGUUGGUUCCGACAAACAACUGGCACCUAUGAAGUGACAAAAGCCUUUGUUUGUUUUGCUGCUUUCGAUGUGCCUGCCAAAGCAAAACUUUUGAAUAUAAAGGCCCACAAUGGCCGGAAUAGCUGUUACAUGUGUACUCAUCCAGGCGAUGAUAUCGAUAAUGGCAACCAUAUCAGGUAUGGAUUCAGAGAAAUAUAUGUUCGGCGCUCGUCAGCUUCCAUCAAGCAGGAUAUGGCAGAGGCUCACAACACUGGUGAAAGCAAGAAUGGCUUCCUAGGUAUUUCACCUUUGUCUCUUUUACCACAUUUUAACCUCCCUUUUGCUGUUGUCAUCGACUAUAUGCAUAGUCACCUGUUGGGCGUAUCCAAAUAUUUACUCAUCAAUAUUUGGUGUAGAAGUGCAUUCCACAACUGCGAUUUUUAUCUCAACCCCGCAAAGCAGCACGAGGUGAAUAAUAGAUUGAUGGCUUUACAUCCUCCAUGCGACAUCUCAAGAGACCGUAGAUCCUUAUUCCAGUGCCACCAAUGGAAAGCCAAUGAAUGGAGAGCGUGGCUCUUUUACUACGGGCCUAUCUGCCUGAAAGACAUCUUGCCUCCAAGGUAUUUUAAGCAUUUCUGUCUUCUGAGUGCCUCUUUAUUUUUCUUCAACCAAAGCCAAAUUGAGAGAGAAAAAAUUGCCACCUAUGCAGGUUACCUGGAGCUGUUCGUUCGCCAGUACCAAGAUUUUUAUGGACUGAUACACUGUACCCACAAUAUCCAUCUGACCGUCCACAUCAAAGAAUGUGUUGUGAGCUGCGGUCCUUUGUGGGCUGUUUCCUUAUUCCCAUAUGAAUCUGGGAAUGGUUAUCUUGUGAGGAUUAUUCAAGGUGCCAAUGGCGUGGCUCAGCAAACUGCAAAUAAGUUUUGCACCUACGCUUGUAUUCCUAAAGUUGUCGCCCUUCACCCGCCUGUAAAAGAAAUCAUUCAGGAGUACUGCGACAACAUCUUAUCCCUCCGCAGAUUUAAAUUUGCUGCUCUUUGUGAUGGAGGUAUUACAAUUGUUGGCAAUAAGUUUAGAUCCACUUUUCUUCCUGAUGAUGAUGAACUUUUGACCAUGGCGACUGUAAUUCCCAACUUUACUGAUGAUGGUACCGACUUCUUUUGUAUUAAAAAAAUAAUUUUCAAUGGAUGUGUUUAUAAAUCAUGGCCGCGAAAACCAACAUAUCGCAGGAACGAUUCAUUUGUCCUCCUCAACAACAAGAAGUUCAUGAAGAUUCAGCAAUUUUUCAUCACAUCAUUGGAUCCAGAUCAGCUGUUUUUCAUUGGUCAAGAAGUCCAAGUUGGCAACCGAGAAAGAGAAGUUUUUCAUGUGAACAAUUUUCAUUGGAAAGUUUGUGAUGCUUACCCCUUUGUUGAAGGAAUCAAAGUCAUUCCAGCCCAAGAAAUCAAACAGAAAUGUUUCUUCAUCGACUCUCACCCCACGUUACGCAUCAUCUGCUGGCUUGGAAACAAAUUUGAACGAGACUAA